UUUAAAUUGGAAGAGGGGAGAUUUAGAUUAGAUAUAAGGAAGAAAUUCUUUACAGUGAGGGUGGUGAGACACUGGAACAGGUUGCCCAGGGAAGUUGUGGAAGCCCCAUCCCUCAAAGUGUUUAAGGCCAGGCUGGAUGGGGCUGUGAGCAACCUGCUCUGGUGGGAGGUGUCCCUGCCCAUGGCAGGGGGGUUGGAACUAGAUGAUUUUUAAUGUCCCUUCCAACUCUAACCAUUCUAUGAGUGUAUGAUUCUCAUAGGUCAGCGGGGGCUAUCAGUGACAUUCCCUCUCAGCUCCCCUUGCAGGAAAUGAGCAAAACUCUGAGUACUGCUUUUCACUACAAGACAGGAAAAAAACCCCUGAAAUUCAGUGCCCAUCGUGUUCCCGGCACCUCGCCUCCCCUGCGUAGGAGGGUUAUGCAGUUUGUCUCCUACAGAUAGCUCAGCUUGUAAAACAUUGAGUGGUUGGCUGGUGAAAAUUUCAAGAUUGGACAGGAUUGUCCCAGCAACGCAAGGGACUGAAGGGUUUGUUUUCUGGUUUCAACCUCUUCAAGACAAAAGCCACCCUUUCAUCUGUAUUUUUACGAUGCUUGGAGCAACGGUUGGAGACUGUGCCUGCUGGAAUACUGUCUGUGUUUAUUAAUAGCAAUAACAACAAAAGGCGGAAGCUAAUGGAGACAAAGGAUGAUGCCUGAUCCUUUUGGUCGGAGGCUCUCGCUUGAAGACGUGGCACUGCAGACCCUGAGGGAGGCAUGGUUCCUCCUCUGAAGAGGAAGAAGUCCACAUUUUGCUUCUGGACAGCCCUUUCUGAGUACAUGGAGAGCAAGAGCUGCCAGAGAUACACAUAUGAACGUGUACCCAGAGAAGUGAAAACAGUGCCACUUGAUCAAGGGAGCAGAUUUUGGAACGUUCUUGGUGUGGUUGGAAAGAAAAAUUUCAAAAAUGUGACCCCUAACGUUGCAGAAACCAGACUACAUGUAAGAAGACUUAAAAUGGUUAUUUUUCUAAUCUCAUUAUUUCAAGAUCAGUAUCAUAGUAUGGUGAUCAUGUAACAAAUUGAGGGAGUCUAGAGUUGACAUAUUAACUAAAACAUUAACCAUAGUUACAUCAAAAAUUGUUAUCCAAAAC
rnacentral:lncRNA from 1 species